ensembl:ncRNA R10E12.11 ncRNA
UGCCGACGAACAUGUGCUCCACCUAAUUUUUUAGGCGAAAGAAUGGCAAAUUGAAAACAGUUGGUUGUGGGUGAUUUACCACAUACACCUUGUUCUCUUUCGGCACUGUAAAAUUGUAGGAAGGUGUCUUUUCGCGCGGCCGGACCAUCGUAAAAGUAUCAUGAAAAAAAAGAACAUGGUGUAAGUACAAGCGAUUAAUAAUCACAG